AUACGGAGGGGGCGAGCGUUGUUCGGAAUUACUGGGCGUAAAGGGCGCGUAGGCGGGCUGACAAGUCAGGGGUGAAAGUCCUGGGCUCAACCUGGGGACUGCCUUUGAAACUGUUAGUCUAGAGUCCGGGAGAGGAUGGCGGAAUUCCCAGUGUAGAGGUGAAAUUCGUAGAUAUUGGGAAGAACACCGGUGGCGAAGGCGGCCAUCUGGACCGGCACUGACGCUGAGGCGCGAAAGCGUGGGGAGCAAACAGGAUUAGAUACCCCAGUAGUCC
rnacentral:rRNA from 1 species